GCCCAUAAAGCAGAUCUAGGUAGGCGUCGCACGGGUAGCCGGCCUGAGAGGGUGACCGGCCACACUGGGACUGAGAUACGGCCCAGACUCCUACGGGAGGCAGCAGUGGGGAAUAUUGCACAAUGGGCGCAAGCCUGAUGCAGCGACGCCGCGUGGGGGAUGACGGCCUUCGGGUUGUAAACCCCUUUCAGCACAGACGAAGCGCAAGUGACGGUAUGUGCAGAAGAAGGACCGGCCAACUACGUGCCAGCAGCCGCGGUAAUACGUAGGGUCCGAGCGUUGUCCGGAAUUACUGGGCGUAAAGAGCUCGUAGGUGGUUUGUCACGUUGUUCGUGAAAACCCACAGCUCAACUGUGGGCGUGCGAGCGAUACGGGCAGACUAGAGUACUGCAGGGGAGACUGGAAUUCCCGGUGUAGCGGUGGAAUGCGCAGAUAUCAGGAGGAACACCGGUGGCGAAGGCGGGUCUCUGGGCAGUAACUGACGCUGAGGAGCGAAAGCGUGGGGAGCGAACAGGAUUAGAUACCCUGGUAGUCCACGCCGUAAACGGUGGGUACUAGGUGUGGGUUUCCUUCCUUGGGAUCCGUGCCGUAGCUAACGCAUUAAGUACCCCGCCUGGGGAGUACGGCCGCAAGGCUAAAACUCAAAGAAAUUGACGGGGGCCCGCACAAGCGGCGGAGCAUGUGGAUUAAUUCGAUGCAACGCGAAGAACCUUACCUGGGUUUGACAUGCACAGGACGCUGGUAGAGAUAUCAGUUCCCUUGUGGCCUGUGUGCAGGUGGUGCAUGGCUGUCGUCAGCUCGUGUCGUGAGAUGUUGGGUUAAGUCCCGCAACGAGCGCAACCCUUGUCUCAUGUUGCCAGCACGUAAUGGUGGGGACUCGUGAGAGACUGCCGGGGUCAACUCGGAGGAAGGUGGGGAUGACGUCAAGUCAUCAUGCCCCUUAUGUCCAGGGCUUCACACAUGCUACAAUGGCCCGGUACAAAGGGGCUGCGAUGCCGUGAGGUGGAGCGGAAUCCUUUUCAAAGCCGGUCUCCAGUUCGGAUCGGGGUCCUGC
rnacentral:rRNA from 1 species